AUCCUACUGAGUGGCCUGCAAGUCAAGUCUCUUUCAGACAUCACCUCUCUACUUCAACCGACUAGCCUGCUGGCCCCACUUGCCUAGGACGGAUGAGAAGGACCACUGUGAUGUCACCUGUGUGUGCCCAGUGUUUCAGCCUCGCUCCCUCAUGAUAACUCCUUGUGGAAGGUGGGGCCACCAUCCACGCAGAGUGACAGCCUGAGCCCAGCCGGAAGCACCUCCCGGACAACUCAUCGUCACAUGGGACAGCGGGCCCCACACUGCUCCCCCUCCCUCCGACA
rnacentral:lncRNA from 1 species